rnacentral:rRNA from 1 species
UACGGAGGGGGCUAGCGUUGUUCGGAAUUACUGGGCGUAAAGCGCACGUAGGCGGCUUUGUAAGUUAGAGGUGAAAGCCCGGGGCUCAACUCCGGAAUUGCCUUUAAGACUGCAUCGCUCGAAUUGUGGAGAGGUAAGUGGAAUUCCGAGUGUAGAGGUGAAAUUCGUAGAUAUUCGGAAGAAAACCAGUGGCGAAGGCGACUUACUGGACACAUAUUGACGCUGAGGUGCGAAAGCGUGGGGAGCAAACAGG